CAUACGGGGGGCAGCAGGGGGGAAUAUUGGGCAAUGGGCGAAAGCCUGACCCAGCGACACCGCGUGGGCGAUGAAGGCCUUCGGGUUGUAAAGCCCUGUCAUGCGGAAAGAACGACCCUGUGACGCAUACUCACAGGGAGUGACGGUAACGCAGGAGGAAGCACCGGCUAACUCCGUGCCAGCAGCCGCGGUAAUAGGGAGGGUGCAAGCGUUGUUCGGAAUUAUUGGGCGUAAAGGGCGCGUAGGCGGUAAUGUAAGUCAGAUGUGAAAUACUUCGGCUCAACUGAAGAACUGCAUCUGAAACUGCAUAACUAGAGUACAGAAGAGGGAAACGGAAUUCCCGGUGUAGAGGUGAAAGUCGUAGAUAUCGGGAGGAACACCAGUGGCGAAGGCGGUUUCCUGGUCUGAUACUGACGCUGAGGCGCGAAAGUGUGGGGAGCAAACA
rnacentral:rRNA from 1 species